rnacentral:rRNA from 1 species
GAUCGUGAUGAGGUAACUGCGCAAAUAAAAUCGGAAACCUCCCCCCAAUAUCAGCACGGUUCCCUUCCCCGUCUCUGGAUUCAUCGCAUGCCCGGCGGCCGGUGGCGGAGGCAUCAUGACGACCUGAGCAAGGCAAAUCCGGCUGGUAGAUUCUCCAAAUCCGGCUGGUUCAUGGUGGCAAGAAUCCUACGAGUUCAUCUAAAUACACAUUUAACUUCGGUGGAGGAUAUACCAAAUGAAGGUAUGCUAGCUUUUUGAGUUGAAAUGGAAAAAAUACGUCUAGAAAAGAAAAUUCAAGAUGCUAAAAUCAUGCAACUAGAAGAGAAGAUGAGAAGCAUGGAAAGACAACCAAAUAAGGUAAAUUUCUAUCAACUGUAACCUUCAUUUAUUUUGUGGGAUAACCUUUCUGUAUUUCUAUCAUAGGAAAUUUCAGAUCCAAUGGCUACAAGCCUACAAGUUGGCUUGAACCUUCGGUCAUGGACAUAAUUCAAACAGAAAAUAGAGUGUGCUUGCUCCUUCUGUUGAUGGACCCCGACUUGUUAAAAAUGACUACAGAACAAGCCAAGUGGUUUAAAUGGUGCAGAUUUGCAAGCAUCAAACAACCAUUCUGUUCUAGAUAAGAACAAAGAAAAUAUGGUUCAUAAUGGUGGCAGUGCACGACCACUAGAAAAAUGUUCUGCUGCACACAAGAAUGUUAUCCAGAACAAAGAAACUUUUGAUUAGAAUUUUAGUGCACGGCAAGGGGAAAUAAAUUCCGUUGCACAUAAGACUGAUGUUGAGAACAAAGAAACUUUGCUUGAGAAUGUCAGCACACGCCAGGGAAAACUUAUACUGCAAACAAGCAGGUAUGAACUAAAGUAUUGUUGAAGAGCCUGAAAAAGGAUGUAGCUCUUUCUACAACUAUUCAAGAGAUAAAUGGACGAGUAUAUGGGUGCGUGGCAAGUAUACUGCAAUGGUGAUGUCAAUGUUUCGGGUCAUGUUGAUGAUGAUGAUGGAUGCUUUGAGUUUCGUUUAUGUUGUAGGAAUGGCAGUCCUGCUGGAUGUUUUUCCUCGGUUAAAUUUUAGUUAAGUUUUCGGGAUGUUGAUGGAUGCUAUCAGUUUAAGUUUUGCUGUCAAGAAAAUAGAUAGAUUAUGCAUCACAUUUGGAUGAUGUUCCUCUUGUAAUAUCCACUAUUGUAAUC